UCGGGAUUGGAUUCGGAUUUGGCAUUUAGAGCUACGAAAUAUAGCAGGAUUGAAGAGGAUUCUGACUCUAAUGUUUCUCGUGCUUUGGGAAAUGGGUUCUGUCUGAAACCUGUUGGUGAUGUGAAUUCGGUGUCUGUGGCGUUUAGGCCAAAGGAUCAUGAAAGAGUUGAUGGGAAACUGAAGGCCGAUAUUGACUUCCAUUGUGAUUAUGAAGGCGGGGUCUGUAUGAAAAUGGAAAAAACACAAUGUAGGAGCUUUCUGCCUCAGGGACCUAGAUUGAAAGGUUAU
rnacentral:misc_RNA from 1 species